CCUACGGGUGGCAGCAGUAGGGAAUUUUCGUCAAUGGGCGCAAGCCUGAACGAGCAAUGCCGCGUGAACGAGGAAGGUCUUCGGAUCGUAAAGUUCUGUUGACGGGGAAAAAGAGCGGAGAGAGGAAAUGCUUUCUGAUUGAUAUUACCCUUCGAGGAAGUCCCGGCUAACUACGUGCCAGCAGCCGCGGUAAUACGUAGGUGGCGAGCGUUAUCCGGAAUGAUUGGGCGUAAAGGGUUCGUAGGCGGCCUGCUAAGUCUGGAGUGAAAGGGACGGGCUCAACCGGGAAAGGCUCUGGAAACUGGCGGGCUAGAGAGCAGGAGAGGGCGGUGGAACUCCAUGUGUAGCGGUAAAAU
rnacentral:rRNA from 1 species